rnacentral:rRNA from 1 species
GACGAACGCUGGCGGCGUGCCUAAUACAUGCAAGUAGAACGCUGAAGCGAGGAGCUUGCUCUUCUUGGAUGAGUUGCGAACGGGUGAGUAACGCGUAGGUAACCUGCCUCGUAGCGGGGGAUAACUAUUGGAAACGAUAGCUAAUACUGCAUAAAAUGGAUUAUCGCAUGAUAAUCCAUUGAAAGGUGCAAAUGCAUCACUACCAGAUGGACCUGGGUUGUAUUAGCUUGUUGGUUGGGUAACGGCUCAACAAGGCGACCAUACAUAGCCGGGCUGGGAGGGUGGUCCGCCAACCUGGGACUGAGACACGGCCCAGGACUCUAAGGGGGGCAGCAGUAGGGAAUCUUCGGCAAUGGGGGGAAGGCUGACCGAGCAACGACGCGGGAGUGAAGAAAGUUUUCGGAUCGUAAAGCUCUGUUGUAAGAGAAGAACGAGUGUGAGAGUGGAAAGUUCACACUGUGACGGUAUCUUAACAGAAAGGGACGGCUAACUACGUG